rnacentral:rRNA from 2 species
AAUGCUGACAUAAGUAACGAUAAAGCGGGUGAAAAGCCCGCUCGCCGGAAGACCAAGGGUUCCUGUCCAACGUUAAUCGGGGCAGGGUGAGUCGACCCCUAAGGCGAGGCCGAAAGGCGUAGUCGAUGGGAAACGGGUUAAUAUUCCCGUACUUGGUGUUACUGCGAAGGGGGGACGGAGAAGGCUAUGUUGGCCGGGCGACGGUUGUCCCGGUUUAAGCGUGUAGGUGUGUGUUCCAGGUAAAUCCGGUUCACUUUAACACUGAGGCGUGAUGACGAGGCACCACGGUGCUGAAGCAACAAAUGCCCUGCUUCCAGGAAAAGCCUCUAAGCAUCAGGUAACAUCAAAUCGUACCCCAAACCGACACAGGUGGUCAGGUAGAGAAUACCAAGGCGCUUGAGAGAACUCGGGUGAAGGAACUAGGCAAAAUGGUGCCGUAACUUCGGGAGAAGGCACGCUGACACGUAGGUGAAGUGAUUUACUCAUGGAGCUGAAGUCAGUCGAAGAUACCAGCUGGCUGCAACUGUUUAUUAAAAACACAGCACUGUGCAAACACGAAAGUGGACGUAUACGGUGUGACGCCUGCCCGGUGCCGGAAGGUUAAUUGAUGGGGUCAGCGCAAGCGAAGCUCCUGAUCGAAGCCCCGGUAAACGGCGGCCGUAACUAUAACGGUCCUAAGGUAGCGAAAUUCCUUGUCGGGUAAGUUCCGACCUGCACGAAUGGCGUAAUGAUGGCCAGGCUGUCUCCACCCGAGACUCAGUGAAAUUGAACUCGCUGUGAAGAUGCAGUGUACCCGCGGCAAGACGGAAAGACCCCGUGAACCUUUACUAUAGCUUGACACUGAACAUUGAGCCUUGAUGUGUAGGAUAGGUGGGAGGCUUUGAAGCGUGGACGCCAGUCUGCGUGGAGCCGACCUUGAAAUACCACCCUUUAAUGUUUGAUGUUCUAACGUGGACCCGUAAUCCGGGUUGCGGACAGUGUCUGGUGGGUAGUUUGACUGGGGCGGUCUCCUCCUAAAGAGUAACGGAGGAGCACGAAGGUUGGCUAAUCCUGGUCGGACAUCAGGAGGUUAGUGCAAUGGCAUAAGCCAGCUUGACUGCGAGCGUGACGGCGCGAGCAGGUGCGAAAGCAGGUCAUAGUGAUCCGGUGGUUCUGAAUGGAAGGGCCAUCGCUCAACGGAUAAAAGGUACUCCGGGGAUAACAGGCUGAUACCGCCCAAGAGUUCAUAUCGACGGCGGUGUUUGGCACCUCGAUGUCGGCUCAUCACAUCCUGGGGCUGAAGUAGGUCCCAAGGGUAUGGCUGUUCGCCAUUUAAAGUGGUACGCGAGCUGGGUUUAGAACGUCGUGAGACAGUUCGGUCCCUAUCUGCCGUGGGCGCUGGAAGACUGAGGGGGGCUGCUCCUAGUACGAGAGGACCGGAGUGGACGCAUCACUGGUGUUCGGGUUGUCAUGCCAAUGGCACUGCCCGGUAGCUAAAUGCGGAAAAGAUAAGUGCUGAAAGCAUCUAAGCACGAAACUUGCCCC